rnacentral:rRNA from 1 species
UACGUAGGGUGCAAGCGUUGUCCGGAAUUAUUGGGCGUAAAGGGCUCGUAGGCGGUCCGUCACGUCGGGAGUGAAAACUUGGGGCUUAACCCCAAGCCUGCUUCCGAUACGGGCGGACUAGAGGUAGGCAGGGGAGAACGGAAUUCCUGGUGUAGCGGUGAAAUGCGCAGAUAUCAGGAGGAACACCGGUGGCGAAGGCGGUUCUCUGGGCAGUAACUGACGCUGAGGAGCGAAAGCGUGGGGAGCGAACAGG